rnacentral:lncRNA from 1 species
AUUAUCUCUCAAAGGUCCCACCUCCAAAGACCAUCACAUUGGAAAUUAGGUAUUCUACAUAUGAAUUUUCGGGGGACAAAAAUAUUCAAUCCAUAGCCCUCUGGCUCAUCCCAGCUGAUUUAGGGCUGACUUGUUAAUAAGCAAGCAGUUAGGAAGACAUACUAAGCUCAAACGCAAAAGUUUCAUUACAGGGAAAAUGACAUCCAGAGAACAUCAAGAAGCUGAAGCUUCCCAGACCCCAACCCCUUGGGUUCCUGGCACCAGAAUCCACUAUCCACCAUGGAGGCAGACAACACAGGAACCUACCUGUGAAUUCCCUUAUCUCGCCAUCCUCCUCUCUGCAAGUAGCCUCAUAAGGCUGAAAGCAGGCUGGAGGGAAGGUGCCAACCAGCAAGGCCACAUGCUCCCCUUCCCCUACCUGAAACCUCAAAUAAAAACCCCUUCCUGUUUUUCUUUGACAAGGAGGAUCGGAGUUCUAGCGAACUCCAAUCUCCUUGUCUGGCUGCUUUUCAAGAAAACUCUUUCCUUGCCAUAAGCCUGGCAUUCCAGUUUUAUUUGGCCCCUCUUGUGUGGCAGGUAAAGAAACUAUGUUCGUAUCCAGGAACAAUUUGGCGAGCCAGCCAGGAGGCUCUUGCCCAUGACUCUGCAGCCCCAGGGCAACUGGGAUUACCUGGGAAGCAGUCCAGCAGCUACCUAGUUUGUAGCUUUUGUUCUCAAAGAUGGUUGCUACACUUCUAAGCACUGAGUCUCUCUUCCAAUCAAGAAGAAGGAAGAAAGAAUUAAAGGUUAAAGAGGUAUGUCGGCUGAGCCUGUGCUCUUUAAAAGCUUUCCCAGAAACGCCAGUCACCCAGUUCUGGUUAAUUUUGAAUGAUUGGAAGUGAGUUACAUGGCCAUCUCCUCAUGCAGGAGAUUCUGGAAGAUAAAAGUAGGAUAAAAUACCACUCUAAGAGGACUAAGAAAAGACAGCCUGCUCCUUCUAACAUCGUCUACAGAGUGUUUGUAGUGACUGAGAGUUCUGCUGAAAAUACUAUGAAAAGAGUUUAAUAAAAAC